rnacentral:rRNA from 1 species
UACGUAGGGAGCAAGCGUUGUCCGGAUUUAUUGGGCGUAAAACGCGUGUAGGCGGCCAGGUAGGUCCGCUGUGAAAACCCGAGGCUCAACCUCGGGACGUCGGCGGAAACCAUCUGGCUAGAGUCCGGAAGAGGAGAGUGGAAUUCCCGGUGUAGCGGUGAAAUGCGCAGAUAUCGGGAAGAACACCCGUGGCGAAGGCGGCUCUCUGGGACGGUACUGACGCUGAGACGCGAAAGCGUGGGGAGCGAACAGG